GAGGGUAUAGCUCAGCGGUAGAGCACAUGCUUAGCAUGCACGAGGUCCUGGGUUCAAUCCCCAGUACCUCCA
rnacentral:tRNA from 1 species